rnacentral:lncRNA from 1 species
CCUAGAUUUCCAUUUAGAAAUAGUCUGACAAUUUUCACAUCUCAACUGGCAGCAGGCACAGAAUGCAGACAGCUGCCGAGAUGCUCUCUGUCGUGCUGAAAUGUAAUAUCGCAGUGCUUUGUUAAAUCCUUUAUCUGCAUACCUGCCACAGGCUGCCCACACUGGGGUGUGAACUUCAUAUUUAAUCAGAGCAGUGUGUCUGAACCAGAUAUGUCAUAAAUUAGCACAGCAACUAACUUCUGCAGACCUGCUUUUUUUUUUUUUUUUUUUUUUUUUAAGACAGGGUCUUGUUCUGUCACCCCAGCUGGAGUGCAGUGGUGCAAUCAUGGCUCACUGCAGCCUUGACUUUCCCACCUGUGUUCAGGUGAUUCUCCCACCUCAGCCUCCCAAGUGGCUGGGACUGCAGACACACACCACCAUGACCAGUUAUUUUUUCUAUUUUUGUAGAGUCGGGUGUCUCACUAUGUUGCCCAGCCUGGUCUCAAAUCCCUGGGCCCAAGUAAUCCUCCUGCCUCAUACAUCUCAAAGUGCUGGGGUUACAGAUAUGAGCCACUACGCUUGGCCUUGUACUGCUUCUUGGUAAGCAAAAUGAAAUCGAAGUUUUACAUGCCAAGCUCUGGAGGGGGAUUUUUACGCUGGCAUAAUCCCAUCCCCUCUGUUCUGUAAACACUCCCAGGAGGCUGUCCCGCUCCAGGAAUGUCUGCAAAAUAUGAUGAUAAGAAUAAUUGAAGUAUGUAAUAAUGUUUGCACUGUUCAAGAAAAAAAAACAGGACGCGGGUUUGAAUGGAAUAACUGAACGUUACGUGGUUGAUUUUCAGGUAGUGUCUGCUCAUUUCAUCACAUUGGCGUGGUGUCUACCAAUUCCCUAACACAACUUCUAAACCCACUUUUCCACCCUUAAGAGCCUUUCUUCGAGGCCAAUGCCAUUUUGCAGUCCUAUCCCUUCCACCCUCCACUGCUGUUAACUGCCAAUUUCCUGGAUGCUGCCCUUCGUUGACUACAGUCAGGGGUUCCAGAAUCCCUCCUUGCCUCCCAUAGAGGGGUCCCUGUGCCGCCACAAUCGCUCAUCUCCACGUCAUGGGUGUUGUCCUUCCAACACACACUGACUCCUCUAUUUCAACAUUUCCGGAGCCUGCGCUGCCUCUCCACGCCUGCUGAGCUGCUUCAUCACAUCAUGGGACACCAGAAUGGCAAGAAGCAUCCUACCAGCCUCAUGGGAGGGACUCAACUUCAAUGCAUGCUUUCCAUUUGAAUGGGAGUGGUUGGGCGGCUGGAGGCCACUGUGAGUCUGAGGAUGGAGGCAAGAUGUGAAGAUGCUGGAAUGAGGAAUGGGAAGGGAGUAGUAAGAGGUGAGCUGAGGCCUGGUCUACAUGAGCAUAGCCCCAAUGCUGUAGAGGGUGAGGAUAGUGUUAUGUGCACACACUGCUGGUGGGCUGCACCUUGCACAAAACAAUUUGGCAAUACACACCAAAAACUUUAGAAACGUUUACACAUAUUGGUCCAGUAGUCCCACUGCUGGGAAUCCAUACAAAGGAAAUAUUUAUAUUCAUAAGGAAAAGACAACAUGGCGACUCUCUAACUAGCCAGGCAUUCAGCUACAUCAUUACAUUUAUACUGUCUAAUUCCCAGAAGUCAUGUUCCAGGAAGUAAGUACAAGCUAAGGUAGGUACUCGGACAGGGCACAGAAUGCCUUGGCAUUCAAGACAAAGAGGGAAACAUGCAUUGCAUAGUCCCCAACACUCUGUAGAAGGAAAAAUGCCAGCUAUCCAUUCGUCAUGGAAUAGACUCUUUUCAAGUUCUGAUAUAAGAGGAAUUUGUGCAAUGAGUUCUUAUCAACCAAGAUGUGAUUAUAAUCAUUUUGUUUGAGAUCUUGCUAAUCCAUAGCUAUUAUCUGAAUAUGUCUUUUAUUUUGCUUUUUAUUUUGAUUAUGAUGGAGGGUUUUUGAUACAGAGAAAAUUUUAAUUUCCAGGUGAUCUAUCUGUCAGCUGUAUGACUUAUCCUUCUGCUUUUAUGCUUUGAAAGAUCUUCUCCACCCACCCCCAGGAAGUUUGGUAAACAUUCAUGUUUGCUCUUCUGUGCUAUUUUUCUGUUUUAUUCUACCUACCCAUAAUACAUCUUGAGGUAUGAUCCACAGGCAAGAUCAUGCUUUCUUGUGACAGUCGGCCUAGAAACCUUUACUGAACUUACUUCCUCAUUGUUUUGGGGUGUCCCUGCUCUUAUACUAUAUGCUGUAUCUCUGUGUGUAAGGAAGUCUGUUCCUAAGACACCAGCCCCAUCCUAUAGAUCUGGCCUUAUUCUUCACUCUGUUUUCGUCACUGUCACAAUGUGGCAUGGGUCAGCAUCUGAGCAGGUCACAUGUCCCACUUACUCUGAGCUCCUUGAAUCUUUUUUUAUCAUCUCCAGCCAGGAUUUUGGAUGGAGUUAUAAGCAGACGACAGAAAUUAAGGCCGCUGGCCACAUUCAUAAGCCUUUGGAGCACGGUCCAUCUACCCUGGGUCAUUUUCUGCUGGAACAGAUGCCUGUCUGGAGGCUGGCAGACCCUUUACCCACCACGGGAAUUUGUGGGGUGUGAUCUGAGAGAUGCUUUCUCCAGUGGAGAUGUGGGAACUAGAUUAUUCCAACUGUGGCCAACACAGUAACGAGAGAUUCCCACACUCCCCGAUAUUCCUUCUGACAGGGACAAAUUAUACUUUGACAACACUUUAGAGGUCACAGAAGGCAUUCCCAAACACAGUCUCGAGCAGCCUUUGUAUCAAUGCUGAGUUGAAUGAGCAAGUAUUGUUGCCCCACUUGUACACGAGGACAGCAGUGCCCAGAGAGAUCAGGUGGAAUCUGAACCCCAGCACUCUGCGAUGAUGUGUGCACUGAGAAAUCCACAAAGGCAUGGAUGAAUAAUAAGUAAAUGAAUCCAAACCACUCCCCACACCAGGAGUGCAAAUGGUACUGCUUGUUUCUAGCAAAUGGUCUGGCUUUCCCACAUCCCUCCGGCCCAGCCCAUGAUCUCUCUCACUCCUGCAUGGUUCUCAAAUUCUGCAGGGAGCUGUCAGUGUUUGAAUUUAAAGGGAGCUUCUAGUAUCUUAUGGGCUGUAAGAGGUUGCAAAAAUAAACAAAUGGUACCAAAUCAUACCAUGAUGGGCUUUACCACGUUCCUGUUACAGGAUCCGUCACCUGUGACUACACGCUUCUCUGUGGGUGGAUUUUUUGCUGUUUUAUUUGAUUGAUUGUGUUACUGUGAAACUAAUAAUAAGUAGCAGAAACUGACAUAGAUUUUACAGUGUCUAACAAAAGUAUAGUAUAUUCUUCACCAUCUUAAAUUGCCCAGCUAUGCAGAAUGCAGGUUUAUGAGUGGCCAACACUUCACACCCAGUCAGAGGAGACAGGGCCUUCUCCUAAUGUUAGUGUUUUUAUAGAUCAGGGUCCAGCAGUUACCUGGCACUCACACCGGGGAUUGAGGGAGGGUCGAGUAAAGGGGCACUGGUAGGGAGUAGGCAGGCUUUAGGGAAGUGACGGGAUGGGUACCAAGCUCAAGACGGGAAGGCUGGGGUGCAGAGAGGCAGCCAUGUGUCCAGCCACCCCUACAAGCUGGGCCCCCAAUGGAGGGGCGUGGCCGGCCCACAGAGACCAGAGCCACACAAACUGACCCACCCCCCCCCAGGCCUACCCCUGCCUGUGCCCCCUGCUGAUGGGCUUUUGGGGGACCCAGGGGCACGGAGCCCUCAGUACUGCCCAAGGAGUGAGAGAGGCAGAUGGAUGCACCAGCAACAUCAGGGAAUUGGACUUACCCCAAAAACAUUGCCAACUCCUGCACCAAACCCAAACCAGAAGAUAGCGCCUAAGAAAGGGAUGUCUUCCCAGAAGUGAUCUUGUUUAUAUAAGACUCUCCCAGAGCCAUCAAAACUAAAUCAUGUUCACUUAAAUGUUUAAUAAUUUCC